rnacentral:rRNA from 1 species
CCUACGGGAGGCAGCAGCAAGGAAUAUUGUGCAAUGGGCGAAAGCCUGACACAGCGACGCCGCGUGAGGGACGAACGCCUUCGGGUUGUAAACCUCUUUUC